AUUGAACGCUGGCGGCAGGCCUAACACAUGCAAGUCGAACGAGUGGCGGACGGGUGAGUAAUGUCUGGGAAACUGCCCGAUGGAGGGGGAUAACUACUGGAAACGGUAGCUAAUACCGCAUACCAUCGGAUGUGCCCAGAUGGGAUUGGCGAGUGGGUGGGGUAACGGCUCACCUAGGCGACGAUCCCUAGCUGGUCUGAGAGGAUGACCGGCAACACGGGAACGGAGCACCGGUCCAAACCCCUACGGAAGGAGGCAUUGGGGAAUAUUGCACAAGGGGCGCAAGCCUGAGACAGCCAGGCCGCGUGUAUGAAGAGGGCCUUCGGGUUGUAAAGUACUUUCAGCGAGGAGGCGUUACUCGCAGAAGAAGCACCGGCUAACUCCGUGCCAGCAGCCGCGGUAAUAC
rnacentral:rRNA from 1 species